ensembl:snoRNA small nucleolar RNA SNORA44
AAGCAUGCUAUCCUAAGGACCUGGGCUCCUCCGUAGUUCAAGGUUCUCCAAGUGCAUGCAACAAUAUUGGCCAGACUUUGACUGCUGUAGACCUAAUUUGUCCUCAGCAGCCACUCAUCUGCCCAACAGCU